rnacentral:rRNA from 3 species
AGAGUUUGAUCAUGGCUCAGAUUGAACGCUGGCGGCAGGCCUAACACAUGCAAGUCGAACGGUAACAGGAAGCAGCUUGCUGCUUUGCUGACGAGUGGCGGACGGGUGAGUAAUGUCUGGGAAACUGCCCGAUGGAGGGGGAUAACUACUGGAAACGGUAGCUAAUACCGCAUAACGUCGCAAGACCAAAGAGGGGGACCUUAGGGCCUCUUGCCAUCGGAUGUGCCCAGAUGGGAUUAGCUAGUAGGUGGGGUAAAGGCUCACCUAGGCGACGAUCCCUAGCUGGUCUGAGAGGAUGACCAGCCACACUGGAACUGAGACACGGUCCAGACUCCUACGGGAGGCAGCAGUGGGGAAUAUUGCACAAUGGGCGCAAGCCUGAUGCAGCCAUGCCGCGUGUAUGAAGAAGGCCUUCGGGUUGUAAAGUACUUUCAGCGGGGAGGAAGGGAGUAAAGUUAAUACCUUUGCUCAUUGACGUUACCCGCAGAAGAAGCACCGGCUAACUCCGUGCCAGCAGCCGCGGUAAUACGGAGGGUGCAAGCGUUAAUCGGAAUUACUGGGCGUAAAGCGCACGCAGGCGGUUUGUUAAGUCAGAUGUGAAAUCCCCGGGCUCAACCUGGGAACUGCAUCUGAUACUGGCAAGCUUGAGUCUCGUAGAGGGGGGUAGAAUUCCAGGUGUAGCGGUGAAAUGCGUAGAGAUCUGGAGGAAUACCGGUGGCGAAGGCGGCCCCCUGGACGAAGACUGACGCUCAGGUGCGAAAGCGUGGGGAGCAAACAGGAUUAGAUACCCUGGUAGUCCACGCCGUAAACGAUGUCGACUUGGAGGUUGUGCCCUUGAGGCGUGGCUUCCGGAGCUAACGCGUUAAGUCGACCGCCUGGGGAGUACGGCCGCAAGGUUAAAACUCAAAUGAAUUGACGGGGGCCCGCACAAGCGGUGGAGCAUGUGGUUUAAUUCGAUGCAACGCGAAGAACCUUACCUGGUCUUGACAUCCACAGAACUUUCCAGAGAUGGAUUGGUGCCUUCGGGAACUGUGAGACAGGUGCUGCAUGGCUGUCGUCAGCUCGUGUUGUGAAAUGUUGGGUUAAGUCCCGCAACGAGCGCAACCCUUAUCCUUUGUUGCCAGCGGUCCGGCCGGGAACUCAAAGGAGACUGCCAGUGAUAAACUGGAGGAAGGUGGGGAUGACGUCAAGUCAUCAUGGCCCUUACGACCAGGGCUACACACGUGCUACAAUGGCGCAUACAAAGAGAAGCGACCUCGCGAGAGCAAGCGGACCUCAUAAAGUGCGUCGUAGUCCGGAUUGGAGUCUGCAACUCGACUCCAUGAAGUCGGAAUCGCUAGUAAUCGUGGAUCAGAAUGCCACGGUGAAUACGUUCCCGGGCCUUGUACACACCGCCCGUCACACCAUGGGAGUGGGUUGCAAAAGAAGUAGGUAGCUUAACCUUCGGGAGGGCGCUUACCACUUUGUGAUUCAUGACUGGGGUGAAGUCGUAACAAGGUAACCGUAGGGGAACCUGCGGUUGGAUCACCU